UCUGUUGAUUAAAGAUAUGUCUUUAACUACUUUGAUUAAAUUUACAUAGUACCAGAACUACAAAUUGUUACAUGGCAAAAACAUAUAGAAUCACAUAAUUGUAACUAUUGACUAGUUUAAGAGUAAUAUGAAAGCUAAACUUUUAUAGGAGUUAUGUUCUCCUUCAAAAUAUCACAUUACAUCAUUGUGGCUUUUUCUUUUAAUCAAAAGUUAAGAUUUUACUUUUAAUCAUCUUUCUGCCUGCAUACAUUGAGGUUGCAAGUUUCUCUGCCUGCAUACAUUGAGGCUGCAAGUUGCUCUGUUUUUCAACUUCAACCUGAUCAUAUCAAGCCAUUCUUGAUUCUUUUUGUAUAAGUGAUUUAGCAGUAGAACUCUUAGCCUUUUUGGCACGUGAUUAAUAUGUUUAGUGUGUUAGUUAUUAGUUAGUUUGCUUGUUAAGAAGUUGUUUUUCUGUUACUUCUUUUCCAAGCAAACUUCAUUCGGUUAGCAAGCUAUAAAUACAAAUGUUUGCUGGUUUUGUAAACACACUUUGAAUAAUCAAUACAAUUCAAUACAUUUUUACAUUCUCUCCUCAUUAUGAAGUCUUUUAUGGUAUCAGAGCUCUCCAAGUGAGAGCUCUGCUGCUAAAUCAUUUACACAUCUCCAUCUUCUUGCCAAUUCUUCACAUCUUGUUCACAAGAAAACUCACAAACAUGGACGCUGAAUCAGAUCAAACACAGCAUACAUACCAGAAUCCAGAUGCAACACAAAAUCCCUAUUACUUACAUCCUCGUGAAUAUCUAGGCUUUACUUUGGUAUCUCCUCCCAUUGAUGGAGGAAAGUACCAAUCAUGGUCAAGAUCAAUGAAAAGGGCACUUAGUUCGAAGAAUAAGUUCAAGUUUGUUAAUAUAACAAUACAAGUUCCUCAUCAAUCAGACCAGAUGUAUGAUGCUUGGGAGAGGUGCAACAACAUGGUGAUAUCUUGGAUCACAAGAUCACUAACACAGCAGAUUGCUCAAAGCAUCGUGUAUAUAUAAAAUGCACAAGAAUUAUGGGAUGACCUUAGGGAACGAUUUUCUAAGGGAGAUCACUUUAGGACAUCCGAUCUACUCCAAGAAAUUCAUUCAAUGAAACAGGGUGAAAGGAACGUAUCUGGAUUUUACACAGAUAUGAAGACAGUUUGGGAGGAACUAGAAUCUCUAAGGCCUCUUCCAACAUGUUCUUGCCCUGUAAGAUGUAGUUGCGGCAUGUCUAAAACUAUAAGAAAUUAUAGAGAAUAUGAAUAUAUCAUAUGUUUUUUGAAAGGCCUUAGUGAACAAUUUGACACUGUGAAGGCUCAGAUUCUUCUCAUGGAGCCUAUGCCAUCCAUCAACAAGGUGUUCUCAUUAGUCUUGCAGCAAGAAAGGCAACAUGAGGGUCUAGGGUAUGACAACAAAAGGAUAAUCAAUUAUGUGAAUUCAACUCAGCCAUGGAAGAAUCAAGCAAACAGAAAUUCUGGUAGAUCAAACACAAACUUCAACAAUAGAAAGAAAUACCAAGGAAGUGGUUGGACAUCUACUUAUCCUAAGCCCUCUGGUGCAAAUAGCAACAAUAAAGUCUGCAGUUUUUGUGGAAAGGAUAGGCACACUGUAGAAACAUGUUACUUCAAGCAUGGGUUCCCUCCAAAUUUCAAGUUCAAGGCUAAGCAAGAAGAUGGAUCAAUGAACAACAUUCAUACUGAUCAUGAAGCAAGAGAUAAGAGGCAAGAAACAAGUCACAUGGACAUAAGCAUAGAGCAAACAGAGCAACCUCUACACAUCAGCAACAACCAUCAGCACAAGAUUAACCAAGUUAGCCAAGAUCACCACAGUAAUGACAAUCCUACUAUGUCAGGUACAAUCCUUAACACUCAAACUUGGAUCCUUGAUAGUGGUGCCACUGAUCAUGUCACUAAUAAUGCAUCAAACUUCACAAGUAUUAACACUAUCAAACCAAUACAUGUGAAACUGCCAAAUAACAUCACUAUGAUUGCUCAAUACUCAGGAACUAUUCACCUAACUCAUGUUCUUUCCCUUUAUGAUGUUCUAUACUUACCUAGUUUUAAAUACAAUUUGAUAUCUAUUUACAAACUUGCUUGCUCCUUAAGAUGCAGGUUUGUUUUUUAUAAGAACCUUUGUUUGAUUCAGGAUAUGACUUCCUCGAAGACGAUUGGUCAUGCUGAAUAGAAAUCAUAAGACUACUUCACAUGUAAUAGGAUCUGUUAAUAAGUACAAUAAUCAUAAAUUUGAUGUUUGGCAUUUUAGAUUGGGCCAUCCCUCUUUGCAUGUUUUACAAAGCAUGAAUAAAAUCUUUCAUUUUGUGAAGUUUGACUCCAAUCUUGUUUGUGAUAUAUGCCACACUACUAAACAAACUAAGCUUUCUUUUCCUAAGAGUACAUCUCAUAGUUCACAACCUUUUGACCUCAUACAUAUGGACAUUUGGGGGGCCCUUAGCCUUCCCACCAUCCAUGGUCAGAAAUACUUCUUGACCAUUGUAGAUGACUUCAGUAGAUAUACAUGGAUUCAUCUUAUGACUAACAAGGGAGAGGCAAGAAAACUGGUCCAUAACUUUUUUCAACUAGCCAAUACUCAAUACAACAAAAGAAUCAAAGCCAUUAGAACUGAUAAUGGCUUGGAAUUCAUACAACCUGAGUUUUAUGCUAGUCUUGUUGUCAUACACCAAAGAUCUUGUGUUGAAACACCUCAACAGAACUAAGUGGUCGAGAGAAAACACAAACAUAUUAUGAACGUUGCUAGAUCUCUGCUCUUUCAAUUCAAUAUACCAAAAGAAAAUUGGGGUCAUGCUGUCAUUCAUUUUGUUUUCUUGAUCAACAGGUUACCCACUCCUGUUCUCAAUUUUAAGUGUCCUUAUGAGGCCCUAUUACAUAAAAAACCUAAUCUCAGUAAUCUUAGAGUGUUUGGUUGCCUUGCCUAUGCCUCUACCCUCACCAACAAUAGGACUAAACUUGAUCCAAGAGCCACCAAGUGCUUAUUCCUUGGAUACACUGAUGGGACCAAAGGUUUCCUCUUAUAUGAUAUGCAUCUGAAGAACAUUUUCUUGUCUCGAAAUGUAAUGUUCCAUGAGCAUGUCUUUCCAUGCCAUGAUACACAAUGCAUACACAAGCACACUUUUGACACUACUGAAAUUGUGGAAUCCUCCCCAUCCCCUGCCUCACAACCUCUCCUUGACUAUCCAUUCAUCAAUGAGACCACCAACACUGCACCUUCCCAUACUGACCAUAAUUCCCUACACAACUCACCUAUGCCACCAUCCUCACCCAUCCAUACUGAGAUCACACCAAGAAGAUCCCUUAGACCUUCACAUCCUUCUAGAUACCUUCAGGACUAUCACUGCAAUUAUUUAGCUUCUGUGCCCAUCACACAAAAUUCUACCAUCAAGCACCCCCUUAACAAUGUCCUAUGCUACAAGCACUUAUCCACUACACAACUCCAUCACAUACUAUCCAUCACCUCUCACAUUGAGCCUAUGACAUACAAUAGAUACAUCAAGUCUACUGAUUGGAUUAAGGCUAUAAACACUAAGUUACAAGCCCUGCAUCUAAAUAACACUUGAACCCUUGUCACUCUUCCACCCAACAAAACUGCCAUUGGGUGCAAAUGGGUUUAUAAACUCAAAUACAAUGAUGAUGGCAGCAUUGAAAGACACAAGGCACGCCUUGUUGGAAAAGGGUAUAAUCAAAUAGAGGGAUUGGAUUAUAAUGAGACUUUUGCCCCUGUAAUCAAGCUUACUACCAUCAGAUUACUCCUGGCUCUUGCUGCCAUGAAAGGAUGGACAUUGCAUCAACUUGAUGUCAAUAAUGCCUUACUCCAUGGAGACCUUAAUGAGGUUGUUUACAUGACCUUACCCACUGGUGUUCACAACUCUAAACCCAACCAAGUCUGCCAAUUAAACAAAUCACUAUACGGCUUGAAACAAGCUAGUAGGCAGUGGUUUGCCAAGCUAUCCAACUCUCUUCAUUACUUAGGUUACAAGCAAUCCCAACAUGAUCAUUCCCUCUUUACUAAAACACAUGAUACCCAUUUCACUGCCCUGUUAAUCUAUGUUGAUGAUCUAAUCUUAGCAGGGGAUGAUUUGACUGAAAUACAAUCUGUAAAGACCCAUCUUGACACUCAGUUUAAAAUCAAGGACUUAGCCACAUUAAAAUACUUCCUAGGCCUUGAGGUAGCCCGGUCCAAAUUAGGAAUAACCUUGUGCUAGAGAAAAUAUGCCUUAGAUCUUCUCAAUGACACUGGUUUCCUCACUUCUAAACUAGUUCCCACACCUAUGGUUAAAAACACCCAUCUACAUCAGCAAGACAGUGAUCCAUUCCAUGAUCCCCUCUUGUACAGACAACUAAUUGGCAGAUUGCUUUACCUAACAAACACACGACCUGAUUUAAACUUUGCCAUACAACAACUCACCCACUUCAUGGCUGCUUCUACUGUUAACCACUAUAAAGCCAUGACUCAAAUACUUAGAUACAUCAAAGGCACCCCUGGACAAGGAUUGUUCUACCCUACCACCUCUGUUUUGCAAAUAAAAGGAUUUUCUUAUUCUGAUUGGGCCUCUUGCCCUGAUACCAGAAAAUCUAUUUCAGGGUACUCCAUGUUCUUAGGAGAUGCCCUUGUUUCUUAGAAAUCCAAGAAACAAAACACCGUUUCUAGAUCAUCCUCAGAAGUUGAGUAUCGUGCCCUUGCUAUUGCUUCUUGUGAGAUUCAAUGGCUAACUUACUUGCUCACUGAUUUCCAUAUUGAUUACAAACACCCUGCUCUCUUAUAUUGUGAUAAUAAUUCGACUAGAUAUAUUGCUGCUAAUGCUGUUUUCCAUGAGCGUACUAAUCAUAUAGAAAUAGAUUGCCAUGUUGUUAGGGAAAGGUUACAAAACAAACUCUUCCACCUCCUGCCUAUUUCCACUUCAAAGCAGGUUGCUGAUCUCUUAACAAAACCAUUAGAACCUGCACCUUUUUCUUAUUUGUUGGGCAAGCUGGGUAUACUUAACAUAUAUUCUCCAGCUUGAAGGGGGGUAUUAACCUCACCCCUCUCUAUGAUUGUAUUAUUACUACUCUAAUUGUUUCUGCUUAAGCUUUCUGAUUCUUCUAUUAUGUUUACAUAUUAUGUUUACAUGUCUCAUUGCAUUUUAUAUCUUAGCCUAUGCCUUUAGUGCAUGAGGAAGCCUUAUAAUAUUGCAGGCUCUAGCUCGCGAUGAAGAUAGGGAGACUAGGAUCAUUGCACACAAGAAUACAACACAUAAAUUUGCCUGCUGCCUCCAUACAUUGAGGCUGCAAGUUGCUCUGCCUGCAUACAUUGAGGCUGCAAGUUGCUCUAUUUUUCAACUUCAACCUGAUCAUAUCAAGCCAUUCUUGAUUCAUUUUGUAUAAGUGGUUUAGCAACAGAACUCUUAGCCUUUUUGGCACGUGAUUAAUAUGUUUAGUGUGUUAGUUAUUAGUUAGUUUGCUUGUCAAGAAGUUGUUUUUCUGUUACUUCUUUUCCAAGCAAACUUCAUUCGGUUAGCAAGCUAUAAAUAUAAAUGCUUGUUGGUUUUGUAAACACACUUUGAAUAAUCAAUACAAUUCAAUACAUUUUUACAUUCUCUUCUCAUUAUGAAGUCUUUUAUGGUAUCAGAGCUCUCCAAGUGAGAGCUCUGCUGCUAAAUCAUUUACACAUCUCCAUCUUCUUGCCAAUUCUUCACAUCUUGUUCACAAGAAAACUCACAAACAUGGACGCUGAAUCAGAUCAAACACAUCAUACAUACCAAAAUCCAUAUGCAACACAAAAUCCCUAUUACUUACAUCCUGGUGAAAAUCCAGGCAUUACUUUGGUAUCUCCUCCCCUUGAUGGAGGAAACUACCAAUCAUGGUCAAGAUCAAUGAAAAGGGCACUCAGUUCGAAGAAUAAGUUCAAGUUUUUUAAUGGAACAAUACAAGUUCCUCAUCAAUCAGACCAGAUGUAUGAUUCUUGGGAGAGGUGCAACAACAUGGUGAUAUCUUGGAUCACAAGAUCACUAACACAGCAGAUUGCUCAAAGCAUCGUGUAUAUAGAAAAUGCACAAGAAUUAUGGGAUGAUCAGAAUUAGUACUCGUUUUAUAGAUCGUGUAUAUAGAAAAUGCACAAGAAAAUGCACUAAUGAUCAGAAUAAGUGUAAAGAGUAAUAAUCAGGCGCUUCAGUUGCAAUCACAGAAUUGAUGCUUCAGCUACAACCAGCAAUUAGGAGAGGUAAACCAGAAAGUCUUUCAGUUAAAACAAUAAUCAGUAUAAAUGAAUGAUCUUAAUGGGGUAGUUGAGAUGAUGGAAUGAUUAAAGUCAGAAAACGUUUCUGACUCUAAUGAGCAACCUAAAAGUUUUUCACAUCGGGACACAACCAGUAUAAAAUGACAUGAAUCAGAAUAUGCAAAGGAAAGAGAUUACAUAUACAUUACAACACAGAAAAAUAAGAGAAACAGACUACAACACAAAGAGAGAGGGAGAACAUACUAAUAGGGGGAUAUACACAUACGCAUACACAACCAUAAGAAAAAUCAAAGAGGAAACAUAAACACAUAGGAUACGCAAUCAAAGAACGCACAUACUUUGCAAUAGAGAACAUAUAAUCCAAAGGCAUACACAGGGAGAAAAAUCAGUGAGCACAUUAAGUUCACACUUCAUAACAAUUAGAGACGCACCUACACAUAUAUUGUGAAAUCAGAACAUCAUAGACCACAUAUCACUAUACACAAGAAUAUCACACGCAACAGGACACGAUACAAAGAAAUCAGAGAUAUCAUAUCUACCCAGAAAAGAGUAUCGACAGUAAAGAUCAAGAAGGAAACUGAGAAUGGAUUCUUGAGACAAAAAUCAAGGAUCAACUAGAAACAAGAAGUCGACAUCUAAAGGGUAAAUCUCAGGUAAGCUACUCAUCCUAUAAAUAUUUACAAACAGAAUGCAUUUUAUUCACUAAAUGUUCUGAAUACCAAAGAAGAUAGGUAUCAUAUAGUCAUAACUAUAACAUAGAUCAAGAAACAAUAGCGCACAUGGUUUAGAAAUUUGAGUUCAACUCCCCAUGUAAUUACAACAUAAGAAAUGGAAAAGAUAAUUAAAAAAAUUCAAUAGAAUAAAGAAAGGGGUGAUAACCGUGCUCACCCUUGCAUCGGCAAAUUUGGUGGAAUGUUGUUGCCUCCUUUAUUCACGGUUACCGUCGGUCAAGUGGGGGAGAAUAGAAACCCGAACCACCGCCUUGCGGUGACAUUACCGUCGCUCCGCGAGUGAGUAGGAGAAGGAGAUGAUUUAGGGAUUCCAUUCCCUUUUGGCCUCCUUCACGUGACUUAGGGAUUUUUUCCCUCUUUCAACCUCAUUCACGUUUGGUCUGAGUGUUUAAAGUAAUCCUUUUUUUG
rnacentral:lncRNA from 1 species